rnacentral:piRNA from 1 species
UAGUUCUGAAAGAUCCCAAUG